rnacentral:piRNA from 1 species
UACGAAUAGGUUCAGACAUGCCUUCCGGU